rnacentral:rRNA from 1 species
UACGAAGGGGGCUAGCGUUGCUCGGAAUCACUGGGCGUAAAGCGCACGUAGGCGGCUUUUUUAAGUCAGGGGUGAAAUCCUGGAGCUCAACUCCAGAACUGCCUUUGAUACUGAGAAGCUUGAGUCCGGGAGAGGUGAGUGGAACUGCGAGUGUAGAGGUGAAAUUCGUAGAUAUUCGCAAGAACACCAGUGGCGAAGGCGGCUCACUGGCCCGGUACUGACGCUGAGGCGCGAAAAGCGUGGGGGAGCA